rnacentral:misc_RNA from 1 species
UCUUUUACUGCUCGGUUGCCAGGAAAGAAGACAUUCAGUGCAUGUAUUCAUUACGUUCUUGCAGAAAUAUAUAGAAACAACAUGUUUUCCACUUUUUGAAGCAAACUGAUUAGCAAGAGAAAUUCGAUAGACAACUUUAAAGGCCAAUAAUGCCUUUGUUCAAUAUGUGCAUCGCACUUCAGCUGACGCUGAUGUAGUGAGUAUGAGCAAUAUCGGAAACAACAAUGGAUUCAACAACAAUGGAUUCAACAACAACAACAACAAUGGAUUUGGCAACAACAACGGAUUCUUUGACAAUAACAACGGAUUCGGC